rnacentral:lncRNA from 1 species
UGCAACCUCUAUACCAGCUGCUGCAAGGAUGGGAGCCCAUGUGCCUAGAAGCCGCUUCUCUUGUCUCCAGGUUCUGGUGGCAAGCAUGACAGGGAAACCUUGGACAAAAAGCAGGGCUGGUCACAUCAGAAACUACUAACAGAAACAGUCAAGCUCUGCCUCUGGCUCUCAGCCCAUGUCACUCUGAACACCCUAGGCAGCCCAGACCAAGGCUCACCUCCUUCCUGCAGGCCUCACUGCUCUCCAUAUGGCAGCUCACUGACAUCAAAGAAGACGGAAGAAAUUAUCUAAAUUCACCAGGCUAGUUCCACUCCUUCCCUUGAAUUGUGGAAGAGUCGCUGAUAUCUCAAUUACCUCUCCUGCAAUAGUACCUUUUUCCCUGCAUGCUAAGAUUUUGCAAUGCUAAAAAGCAGGGUGAGAAGUGUAUACUGGACUAACAGAUGGAAGAUUAACAACAAAAGACCGACUUGAUGGGGGAGACAAAACUACAAUGUUUGUAUACCUAUAAUAAAAAUACUGAGGAAGAAAAAUUGAACUUGUAAGUAAAGUUAGGUUGCUCUUCUGUAACGCCUGUCGAGCUACAGACAGGAAAAGGCCCAGCAUGGUUUCUGUGUACGCCUAUGCUGUUUCUAAUAGAAAGGACAAAAUAGAGCCAAAACAUCUGUUGACCAGUUAAGUUUGUUAAUGAAACCAAAUUGCAGCUGGUUUAUCACAGAUCAAAAGUGAGGCAAAUUAGAGAAAGGAUGUAUGAACAAAGCUGGUUUCUAAAAAAUAGUGGCUAAAGAAUUCUAAACCCACUUGUCAAAUUAACAAAAAUCCUUCCUGGAUUUUGCUUAGACCAGUGAUUAGUAUUUACUUUGUAUCUUUGCAGAGACCAGCCUCAUAGUUUAAAUCUAGUAUCAUUCACUCUAAAAUGUUGUCUAUAUUGCUCAUUUUGCAGAUUUAUCAAAAUAUCACCUUUCAUUAAAAAAAAACAGAAAAAACAUACACUCUACAUAAUAUUACACUAAUUAAAAGAUUCACUUAUAUAAGGA